GAUGAACGCUGGCGGCGUGCCUAAUACAUGCAAGUCGAGCGAACAGACGAGGAGCUUGCUCCUUUGACGUUAGCGGUGGACGGGUGAGUAACACGUGGAUAACCUACCUAUAAGACUGGGAUAACUUCGGGAAACCGGAGCUAAUACCGGAUAACAUGUUGAACCGCAUGGUUCAACAGUGAAAGACGGUCUUGCUGUCACUUAUAGAUGGAUCCGCGCCGCAUUAGCUAGUUGGUAAGGUAACGGCUUACCAAGGCAACGAUGCGUAGCCGACCUGAGAGGGUGAUCGGCCACACUGGAACUGAGACACGGUCCAGACUCCUACGGGAGGCAGCAGUAGGGAAUCUUCCGCAAUGGGCGAAAGCCUGACGGAGCAACGCCGCGUGAGUGAAGAAGGUCUUCGGAUCGUAAAACUCUGUUAUUAGGGAAGAACAAAUGUGUAAGUAACUAUGCACGUCUUGACGGUACCUAAUCAGAAAGCCACGGCUAACUACGUG
rnacentral:rRNA from 1 species